rnacentral:rRNA from 1 species
UACGUAGGGGGCAAGCGUUGUCCGGAAUCAUUGGCGUAAGAGCGUGUAGCGGCUCGAUAAGUCCGCUCUGAAAGCCCGGGGCUCAACCCCGGGAGGCGGGCGGAAACUGUCGGGCUAGAGUCCGGAAGAGGCGAGUGGAAUUCCCGGUGUAGCGGUGAAAUGCGCAGAUAUCGGGGAGGAACGACCGGUGGCGAAGGCGGGUCUCUGGGCCGAUACUGACGCUGAGGAGCGAAAGCGUGGGGAGCGAACAGG